ACUCAAAGGAAUUGACGGGGGCCCGCACAAGCGGUGGAACAUGUGGUUCAAUUCGACGCAACGCGAAGAACCUUACCUGGGCUUGAACUGCUGGUGACCAGCGGUGGAAACAUCGCCUUCCCGCAAGGGACACCAGUAGAGGUGCUGCAUGGCUGUCGUCAGCUCGUGCCGUGAGGUGUUGGGUUAAGUCCCGCAACGAGCGCAACCCUUACUCUUAGUUGCCACCCGCAAGGGGGAACUCUAAGAGGACUGCUCCGGAUAACGGAGAGGAAGGUGGGGAUGACGUCAAGUCAGCACGGCCUUUAUGUCCAGGGCUACACACGUGUUACAAUGCACGGUACAGACUGUUGCGAACCCGCGAGGGGGAGCCAAUCGGAAAAACCGUGCUCAGUUCGGAUUGCAGUCUGCAACUCGACUGCAUGAAGCCGGAAUCGCUAGUAAUGGCGUAUCAGAACGACGCCGUGAAUACGUUCCCGGGCCUUGUACACACCGCCCGU
rnacentral:rRNA from 1 species